rnacentral:rRNA from 1 species
UCGAGAAUUUUUCUCAAUGGGGGCAACCCUGAAGGAGCGACGCCGCGUGGAGGAUGAAGGUCUUCGGAUUGUAAACUCCUGUCAUUUGGGAACAAGUGCCGCGCCAUAACUGGGCGCGGCUUGAUAGUACCAGAAGAGGAAGAGACGGCUAACUCUGUGCCAGCAGCCGCGGUAAUACAGAGGUCUCAAGCGUUGUUCGGAUUCAUUGGGCGUAAAGGGUGCGUAGGUGGCGGGGCAAGUCAGGUGUGAAAUCUCGGAGCUCAACUCCGAAACUGCACUUGAUACUGCCUUGCUGGAGUACUGGAGAGGAGAUUGGAAUUUACGGUGUAGCAGUGAAAUGCGUAGAUAUCGUAAGGAAGACCAGUGGCGAAGGCGAAUCUCUGGACAGUUACUGACACUGAGGCACGAAGGCCAGGGGAGCAAACGGGAUUAGAUACCCCCGUAGUCC